GUGAGACUAAAAAUGAAAAACAAAAGAAAAAAAAGAAAAAUUUUCGAGGAAAUAUUAAAAAAAUUUCUCAUUGGAACAGCGAGCAGCAGCAGCCGAAACAAUUUUUUGAAACCCCUGUGACUCCCGAGCACGAUUCUCAUUCGUCGGUGCGGCCGGAACCCUCCGAAUUUGAUCCACCAUGCACUCAUCUAACAGGAACAGUCGGAUUAACAUGCGGAGCUCCCUACCUUUUACAUCGGUGCAUUCUAAAAGAAAGGCGGACCAUUACUUUCGUCCAGCAGCUACAACAUAACGUGGGUUGGCUAGCGAUUAGUGAGGAUAAGUUGGCCAUAACGUGCCAAUACUCAUCCUCACAAGAAGAAUUUCCAAUGUAAAAAAGGCAUUUUAAUGCGAAUAAAUUAAGCAUAAAUAAAAUU